AUAAAACAGGGGGGAAAACCCGUUGGAGAGAAGCUGAAUGGAUGGAGCCGGAGAGACGUCACUGGCAGCCGCAGCCAUGAAGACCGUGCGGUCCAGCCUCCGGAGAAUCACUUCGCCUCCAUCCUCCGAGACGCUCGCCGCUCGAUCUGGGAGAGGAGCGCAUCCCGCGACGAUCCGCGAUCAGCGACGUCAGAAAUUGGCCGAUGUUUCUUGGCCUGGGGUUUAAGAGGAUGGGUAGCCUUAGGGGUUGAUUGUUAUCUUUGGUUAUCUAGCUGUAUGAGUGAUGUACAUUCUUCAUAAAGCUAGAUAACCGAAAGUAACAAGAAUCCCAUUACACUCCUGGAAAGGCAUCAAGACCCAAAGUGACUCCGCUCUGCGAAAACAAAAAAAGAUAAACAAGAAGAAACGUAACUUGAUGAAAAAAAGGACAUUUUUUUUCUUAAAGGAGGUGAAUCGUUCAUCAAAUAAAGGGUACCUUUCCACGUAGAGAAAAGAUGGCAAGGGAAGACUGAAAACAGAAGAGGAGGAGGGGUUGCUGUUGAUUGUGCCCUCCCUCUCUCAUCGCCCUCUUCUGCAUCGCCUCUUCCCACCUCCUCCUCUUCUCUUUCUCCUCCACUCCAUCCUCAGCAGACUGCCCCUUUUUCCUGUACAGCGAAAUGCAGCCCACGCCACCAUCUUAGAGCAACGCUGGCAUAAAAUGGAAGUGGGAAGACCAGUCACUGCAGAUAAACAUUGGUGGUUGGGGGCUCCAAAAUGAA